AGGGCGCACGGUGGAUGCCUUGGUACUAGGAGCCGAAGAAGGACGGAACUAACACCGAUAUGCUUUGGGGAGCUGUAAGUAAGCUAAGAUCCAAAGAUUUCCGAAUGGGGGAACCCAACACCUUUCAUAGGGUGUUACCAAUGAGUGAAUACAUAGCUCAUUAGGAGGUACACGCAGGGAACUGAAACAUCUCAUUACCUGCAGGAAGAGAAAGAAAAAUCGAUUCCCUGAGUAGCGGCGAGCGAAACGGGAGGAGCCCAAACCAACGAGCUUGCUUGUUGGGGUUGUAGGACUAGAACGUGAGAAGAAAUCAAGAUAGCAGAAGUGGUCUGGAAAGGCCCAUCAAAGAAGGUGACAAUCCUGUACGCGACAUUUUGAUGAACUCUACUAGCAUCCUGAGUACGGCGGGACACGAGGAAUCCCGUCGGAAUCCGCCAGGACCAUCUGGCAAGGCUAAAUACUACCUAGUGACCGAUAGUGAACCAGUACCGUGAGGGAAAGGUGAAAAGAACCCCGGGAGGGGAGUGAAAGAGUACCUGAAACCGUGUGCUUACAAGUAGUCAGAGCCCGUUAAUGGGUGAUGGCGUGCCUUUUGUAGAAUGAACCGGCGAGUUACGUUUACAUGCGAGGUUAAGAUGAAGAGUCGGAGCCGUAGCGAAAGCGAGUCUGAAUAGGGCGCAUGUAGUAUGUGGACGUAGACCCGAAACCAAGUGAUCUACCCAUGUCCAGGUUGAAGGUGCGGUAAAACGCACUGGAGGACCGAACCAGGGCACGUUGAAAAGUGCUUGGAUGACUUGUGGGUAGCGGAGAAAUUCCAAACGAACUUGGAGAUAGCUGGUUCUCUCCGAAAUAGCUUUAGGGCUAGCGUCGACAUUAAGAUUCUUGGAGGUAGAGCACUGUUUGGGUGAGGGGUCCAUCCCGGAUUACCAAUCUCAGAUAAACUCCGAAUGCCAAUGAAUUAUGGUCGGCAGUCAGACUGCGAGUGCUAAGAUCCGUAGUCGAAAGGGAAACAGCCCAGACCACCAGCUAAGGUCCCAAAAUAAUUGUUAAGUGGAAAAGGAUGUGGGGUUGCACAGACAACUAGGAUGUUAGCUUAGAAGCAGCUAUUCAUUCAAAGAGUGCGUAAUAGCUCACUAGUCGAGUGACCCUGCGCCGAAAAUGUACCGGGGCUAAAACAAUUUACCGAAGCUGUGGAUACCUUUAUAGGUAUGGUAGGAGAGCGUUCUAUGUGUGAAGAAGGUAUACCGUGAGGAGUGCUGGAACGCAUAGAAGUGAGAAUGCCGGUAUGAGUAGCGAAAGACAGGUGAGAAUCCUGUCCACCGUAAGACUAAGGUUUCCAGGGGAAGGCUCGUCCGCCCUGGGUUAGUCGGGACCUAAGGAGAGACCGAAAGGUGUAUCCGAUGGACAACAGGUUGAUAUUCCUGUACUAGAGUAUGUAGUGAUGGAGGGACGCAGUAGGCUAACUAAAGCAGACGAUUGGAAGAGUCUGUCUAAGCAGUGAGGUGUGAAUUGAGUUAAAUGCUUAGUUCUAUAACAUUGAGCUGUGAUGGGGAGCGAAGUUUAGUAGCGAAGUUAGUGACGUCACACUGCCAAGAAAAGCUUCUAGCGUUUAAACAUACUCUACCCGUACCGCAAACCGACACAGGUAGUCGAGGCGAGUAGCCUCAGGUGAGCGAGAGAACUCUCGUUAAGGAACUCGGCAAAAUGACCCCGUAACUUCGGGAGAAGGGGUGCUGGUAGCAAUACCAGCCGCAGUGAAUAGGCCCAGGCGACUGUUUAUCAAAAACACAGGUCUCUGCAAAAUCGAAAGAUGACGUAUAGGGGCUGACGCCUGCCCGGUGCUGGAAGGUUAAGAGGAGAGGUUAGCGCAAGCGAAGCUUUGAAUUGAAGCCCCAGUAAACGGCGGCCGUAACUAUAACGGUCCUAAGGUAGCGAAAUUCCUUGUCGGGUAAGUUCCGACCCGCACGAAAGGCGUAACGAUUUGGGCACUGUCUCAACGAUGGACUCGGUGAAAUCAUAGUACCUGUGAAGAUGCAGGUUACCCGCGACAGGACGGAAAGACCCCAUGGAGCUUUACUGUAGUUUGAUAUUGAGUGUUUGUGUCACAUGUACAGGAUAGGUAGGAGCUGAAGAAUCCGGGACGCCAGUUUCGGAGGAGGCAACGGUGGGAUACUACCCUUGUGACAUGACCACUCUAACCCGCACCCCUUACCGGGGUGGGAGACAGUGUCAGACGGGCAGUUUGACUGGGGCGGUCGCCUCCUAAAAUGUAACGGAGGCGCCCAAAGGUUCCCUCAGAAUGGUUGGAAAUCAUUCGUAGAGUGUAAAGGCAGAAGGGAGCUUGACUGCGAGACCUACAAGUCGAGCAGGGACGAAAGUCGGGCUUAGUGAUCCGGUGGUUCCGUAUGGAAGGGCCAUCGCUCAACGGAUAAAAGCUACCCUGGGGAUAACAGGCUUAUCUCCCCCAAGAGUUCACAUCGACGGGGAGGUUUGGCACCUCGAUGUCGGCUCAUCGCAUCCUGGGGCUGAAGUCGGUCCCAAGGGUUGGGCUGUUCGCCCAUUAAAGCGGUACGCGAGCUGGGUUCAGAACGUCGUGAGACAGUUCGGUCCCUAUCCGUCGCGGGCGUUGGAAAUUUGAGAGGAGCUGUCCUUAGUACGAGAGGACCGGGAUGGACACACCGCUGGUGUACCAGUUGUUCUGCCAAGAGCAUCGCUGGGUAGCUAUGUGUGGACGGGAUAAACGCUGAAAGCAUCUAAGCGUGAAGCCCCCCUCGAGAUGAGAUUUCCCAUCAUUUU
rnacentral:rRNA from 1 species